rnacentral:rRNA from 1 species
AGAGCGAACGCUGGCGGCAGGCCUAACACAUGCAAGUCGAGCGCCGUAGCAAUACGGAGCGGCAGACGGGAGAGUAACACGUGGGAACGUACCCUUCAGUUCGGAACAACCCAGGGAAACUUGGGCUAAUACCGAAUACGUCCGUAAGGAGAAAGAUUUAUCGCUGAAGGAUCGGCCCGCGUCUGAUUAGCUUGUUGGUGAGGUAAUGGCUCACCAAGGCUACGAUCAGUAGCUGGUCUGAGAGGAUGAUCAGCCUCACUGGGACUGAGACACGGCCCAGACUCCUACGGGAGGCAGCAGUGGGGAAUAUUGGACAAUGGGCGCAAGCCUGAUCCAGCCAUGCCGCGUGGGUGAUGAGGCCCUAGGGUGUAAGCCCUUUCGGCGGGAAGAGUAAUGACGGUACCCGCAGAAGAAGCCCCGGCUAACUUCGUGCCAGCAGCCGC